GGCGACCGGCGCACGGGUGAGUAACACGUAUCCAACCUGCCGCUUACUCGGGGAUAGCCUUUCGAAAGAAAGAUUAAUACCCGAUGGUAUAAAGAGUUCGCAUGUUCUCUUUAUUAAAGAAUUUCGGUAAGCGAUGGGGAUGCGUUCCAUUAGAUAGUUGGCGGGGUAACGGGCCCCACCAAGUCUACGAUGGAUAGGGGUUCUGAGAGGAAGGUCCCCCCACAUUGGAACUGAGACACGGUCCAAACUCCUACGGGAGGCAGCAGUGAGGAAUAUUGGUCAAUGGACGAGAGUCUGAACCAGCCAAGUAAGCGUGAAGGAUGACUGCCCUAUGGGUUGUAAACUUCUUUUAUAAGGGAAUAAAGUGAGGGACGUGUCCCUUUUUGUAUGUACCUUAUGAAUAAGGAUCGGCUAACUCCGUGCCAGCCGCAGC
rnacentral:rRNA from 1 species